rfam:Betaproteobacteria bacterium CG2_30_68_42 cg2_3.0_scaffold_2887_c, whole genome shotgun sequence.
CCUGGCGCCCAUAGCGCGUUGGAACCACCCCUUCCCAUCCCGAACAGGACCGUGAAACAACGCCGCGCCAAUGAUAUUGCCCACUACGAGCAGGAAAGUAGGUCAGCGCCAGGC